rnacentral:rRNA from 1 species
AUACGUAGGGGGCGAGCGUUGUCCGGAUUUACUGGGCGUAAAGGGUGAGUAGGCGGUUAUAUAUGUCAGAUGUAAAAGGCACAGGCUUAACUUGUGUAAGCAUUUGAAACUGUAUAACUUGAGAGCAGGAGAGGUAAGUGGAAUUCCUAGUGUAGCGGUGAAAUGCGUAGAUAUUAGGAGGAACACCAGUGGCGAAGGCGACUUACUGGACUGUAACUGACGCUGAGUCACGAAAGCGUGGGUAGC